rnacentral:rRNA from 1 species
AGUCAAGUAAUUAAGUGCAUGUGGUGGAUGCCUUGGCAGUCAGAGGCGAUGAAAGACGUGAUAGCCUGCGAAAAGCUCCGGGGAGGCGGCAAAUAUCCUUUGAUCCGGAGAUGUCUGAAUGGGGGAACCCACCUACUUUAAGGUAGGUAUUGCAACAUGAAUACAUAGUGUUGCAAGGCGAACGAGGGGAAGUGAAACAUCUCAGUACCCUUAGGAAAAGAAAUCAAUUGAGAUUCCCUCAGUAGCGGCGAGCGAACGGGGAUCAGCCCAUUAAGUUAUGUGUGUUUUAGUGGAACGCUCUGGGAAGUGCGAACGUAGAGGGUGAUAUUCCCGUACACGAAAGGGCACACAUAAUGAUGACGAGUAGGGCGAGGCACGUGAAACCUUGUCUGAAUAUGGGGGGACCAUCCUCCAAGGCUAAAUACUCCUGACUGACCGAUAGUGAACCAGUACCGUGAGGGAAAGGCGAAAAGAACCCCUGUGAGGGGAGUGAAAUAGAUCCUGAAACCGCAUGCAUACAAGCAGUGGGAGCACCUUCGUGGUGUGACUGCGUACCUUUUGUAUAAUGGGUCAGCGACUUAUAUUCAGUAGCGAGGUUAACCGUAUAGGGGAGCCGUAGAGAAAUCGAGUCUUAAUAGGGCGUUUAGUUGCUGGGUAUAGACCCGAAACCAGGCGAUCUAUCCAUGAGCAGGUUGAAGGUUGGGUAACACUAACUGGAGGACCGAACCCACUGUCGUUGAAAAGCCAGGGGAUGACUUGUGGAUAGGGGUGAAAGGCUAAUCAAGCCUGGUGAUAGCUGGUUCUCCCCGAAAGCUAUUUAGGUAGCGCCUCGGACGAAUACCAUAGGGGGUAGAGCACUGUUUCGGCUAGGGGGUCAUCCCGACUUACCAAACCGAUGCAAACUCCGAAUACCUAUGAGUACUAUCCGGGAGACAGACUGCGGGUGCUAACGUCCGUAGUCAAGAGGAAAACAAUCCAGACCGCCAGCUAAGGCCCCAAAAUCAUAGUUAAGUGGGAAACGAUGUGGGAAGGCAUAGACAGCUAGGAGGUUGGCUUAGAAGCAGCCACCCUUUAAAGAAAGCGUAAUAGCUCACUAGUCGAGUCGGCCUGCGCGGAAGAUGUAACGGGGCUAAAACUAUGUGCCGAAGCUGCGGAUGUAUACUUUGUAUACGUGGUAGGGGAGCGUUCUGUAAGCCGAUGAAGGUGUGUUGAGAAGCAUGCUGGAGGUAUCAGAAGUGCGAAUGCUGACGUGAGUAACGACAAAACGGGUGAAAAACCCGUUCGCCGAAAGACCAAGGGUUCCAGUCCAACGUUAAUCGGGGCUGGGUGAGUCGACCCCUAAGGCGAGGCCGAAAGGCGUAGUCGAUGGGAAAAUGGUUAAUAUUCCAUUACUUCUGUGUAAUGCGAUGAGAGGACGGAGAAGGCUAAAUCAGCCUGGCGUUGGUUGUCCAGGUGAAAGGAUGUAGGCAUGUAUCUUAGGCAAAUCCGGGGUACUCUAUGCUGAGAUCUGAUAGCAAGCUGUACUUGUACAGCGAAGUGGUUGAUGCCAUGCUUCCAGGAAAAGUCUCUAAGCUUCAGUUACACAGGAAUCGUACCCGAAACCGACACAGGUGGUCAGGUCGAGUAGACCAAGGCGCUUGAGAGAACUCUGCUGAAGGAACUAGGCAAAAUGGUACCGUAACUUCGGGAGAAGGUACGCUGUUGUUGGUGAUGGAACUCGCUUCCUGAGCUGACGACAGCCGCAGAAACCAGGCCGCUGCAACUGUUUAUUAAAAACAUAGCACUCUGCAAACACGAAAGUGGACGUAUAGGGUGUGAUGCCUGCCCGGUGCUGGAAGGUUAAUUGAUGGGGUUAGCGUAAGCGAAGCUCUUGAUCGAAGCCCCAGUAAACGGCGGCCGUAACUAUAACGGUCCUAAGGUAGCGAAAUUCCUUGUCGGGUAAGUUCCGACCUGCACGAAUGGCAUAAUGAUGGCGGCGCUGUCUCCAGCAGAGGCUCAGUGAAAUCGAAAUCGCUGUGAAGAUGCAGUGUACCCGCGGCUAGACGGAAAGACCCCGUGAACCUUUACUGCAGCUUGACACUGAACUUUGACCUUACUUGUGUAGGAUAGGUGGGAGGCUUUGAAGCUGGAACGCUAGUUCCGGUGGAGCCGUCCUUGAAAUACCACCCUGGUAAUGUUGAGGUUCUAACUCUGUCCCGUGAUCCGGGACGAGGACCGUGUCUGGUGGGUAGUUUGACUGGGGCGGUCUCCUCCUAAAGAGUAACGGAGGAGUACGAAGGUGCGCUCAGCGUGGUCGGAAAUCACGCGUAGAGUAUAAAGGCAAAAGCGCGCUUAACUGCGAGACCCACAAGUCGAGCAGGUACGAAAGUAGGUCUUAGUGAUCCGGUGGUUCUGUAUGGAAGGGCCAUCGCUCAACGGAUAAAAGGUACUCUGGGGAUAACAGGCUGAUACCGCCCAAGAGUUCAUAUCGACGGCGGUGUUUGGCACCUCGAUGUCGGCUCAUCUCAUCCUGGGGCUGAAGCAGGUCCCAAGGGUAUGGCUGUUCGCCAUUUAAAGAGGUACGCGAGCUGGGUUUAGAACGUCGUGAGACAGUUCGGUCCCUAUCUACCGUGGGCGCUGGAAAUUUGAGAGGAUCUGCUCCUAGUACGAGAGGACCAGAGUGGACGAACCUCUGGUGUACCGGUUGUGACGCCAGUCGCAUCGCCGGGUAGCUAUGUUCGGAAGGGAUAACCGCUGAAAGCAUCUAAGCGGGAAGCCUACCUCAAGAUAAGAUUUCCCUAGGACUUUAUGUCCUCUAAAGAGCCGUUCGAGACUAGGACGUUGAUAGGUUGGAUGUGGAAGCAUAGUGAUAUGUGAAGCUGACCAAUACUAAUUGCUCGUGAGGCUUGACUAU